rnacentral:rRNA from 1 species
GACGAAUGCUGGCUGCGUGCUUAACACAUGCAAGUCGAACGGUGAAAGGGAGCUUGCUCCCUGGAUCAGUGGCGAACGGGUGAGUAACACGUGGGCAACCUGCCCCCCACUCUGGGAUAACUCCGGGAAACCGGGGCUAAUACCGGAUACGACCUGGUGCGACAUCGCACCGGGUGGAAAGAACUUCGGUGAGGGAUGGGCCCGCGGCCUAUCAGCUUGUUGGUGGGGUAACGGCCCACCAAGGCGACGACGGGUAGCCGGCCUGAGAGGGCGCACGGCCACGCUGGGACUGAGACACGGCCCAGACUCCUACGGGAGGCAGCAGUGGGGAAUAUUGCUCAAUGGGCGAAAGCCUGACGCAGCGACGCAGCGUGAGGGACGAAGGCCUUCGGGUUGUAAACCUCUUUCAGCGGGGACGAAGCGAAAGUGAUGGUACCCGCAGAAGAAGCACCGGCUAACUACGUGCCAGCCGCCGCCGUAACAC